AUAUCACAAAUGCAUUUGUCAAAGCGCAUCAUUGCAUUUAUUAUUUGUUGUUGUUGUGUUUCAGACCAUUCCCCGCGUCGUCGAACAUUCCCGCUACUUCAGAAGGGCAGAACAGACACGGAAAAGCACAGAGCCACGUAUCAUACCAUACACGGUAAGUCGGGUUUAAAUGAAUUUUUAAUGGAAAAGGUUUGAUUCUAUUCUGCGUUUCGAAUUUGUGUAGUUGUGAAACAAUACAAAUUUAAUAAAAUGUGCUUGUCCACUAGAUAUGAUCCUUUCUUGAACUAAGUACUUGCCUUUUUGAAGCAUGGUGUGUGAGCAACAUCAUGAAGCCAUUACCCAUUAUUGGAAGAAGCAAAGCUGCUUUGAGAAUGUUACUUAAAAACCUUAUUUCUCAGGAUGUCUUAAGAGAUAGUGAAACUUAAACGGAUUGAUAGCAUUUUUAAUGAAUAGUCAUACUGGGAUUUUCUGUUCAAUCUGUUUGGUUUCGAAAAUAUAUAAUCACCAGAAUUCGAUAGCAGCUUAAGCAGUUGACAGAAACCUUAUUGAAAUUAAAGUUGCAAUUGCGAAUAUUGCAUAUGUUUGUAUUAAAGCCAUUUAACCUAGAACCGAUUAAAGAUUGUUUAAUGUUAGCUAAUAUUGUGUAUAAAAAAUACAUUUUGUACAAAUAUAUAACUGAAUGAUAUCUUUUAACUCGAUUCGAGAUUUUAAGCAUUCACUUUAAAACUUUUUACA